CAUUUCACUGCAUGGAGCCUGUGACUAUGUUACAUCAAUGGUAAAAGGGACUUUGCAGGUGUGAUUAAUGUAGGAUUUGAGAUAAGAAGAUUUGCCUGGGUUAUCCAGGUGGACCCAAUGUAAUCACUAACGUUCUUAUGAGAAGGAGGCAGGUGGGUCAAUUGGUAGUGGGAGCUAGGACUCAAAGCUGGAGUGGUUCUAGGAAGGAACAAGGAGCCAAGGAAUACAGGCAGCCUGGAAGAGCUGAAAAAGACAAAGAAACAAUUUUUCCCUGAAGCCUCAAGAGAGAAUGCUGCCCUAUUGACACCAUGAUUGGAAACUUCUGACCUUCAGAACUGCUUUAUUGGUCUCCUGAAGCAUGCUAGAAUGAAACUCCAAUCUAAGGGAUAAUAAGAGUGGCGAUUGAAGUUUGGCUUUCUCUUGAUAUGCAAAUUCCUGAGAUGGAGGAGACUUCCUGAAAAAGAACUGAGACUGAUAGCUUCUAGAAGCUAGGAGCACCAGUACCCCGCCCACCUCCCCAACUAAGAGCCACUAAGAAAAAGGGGCCCUCAGUCAACCUUAAAGAACUGGAUCCUACAAACAACUUGAGUGAGUUUGGAAGCAAAUUCUCCGAUACUCCAGAUAAGAACCCAGCCUGGUUGAGACCCUGAUUUUGGUCUUAUGAAAUUCUAAGCAGAAAAUUCUCAAGCCUGUCCGGACUUCUGACCUACAAAAAUAUUUUAUAAACGAGCUGCAGUGAACAUUUGUGUUCAAGAUUUUGUAUGGAUACAUGCCUUCAUUUUCAAUGGAUAAUACCAAGGAGUGGAUUGCCUGGAUCAUAUGAUAGAUACAUGAACUGAGGUUCUAAGAUGUUAAGGAACUUGAUCAUGUCACAUAUAGAAACCUGAAGAGCUGAAUAGAAUUGUAGACUUUACUGACUGACCAAGAAACCCAUCCUCAAAUUCAAAGGAGACUAACUUUUAUAGACAACGUUUCCUGGGCUCCUGCCUCUGACUCCAAGCUUCCUUCAGACAAUGGAAAGCAGAGACUUUCAGAAUGGCAGAGAUCUUGGACAUUUCUCAGACAUUGGCUUCCAGCCUCUACUGCCAAAGCUCCUUUUGGGGUGCUCCUCUUCUAUUGUUCCAGUUAUCCAAGGAUCUAAUGACACUAAUUUUUUUCCCAUUUUCCCCUUCAGCCUGGGUUAAUAAUAGCUCUCUACUCUUGCUAGUCAUUUGCAUGCUUCCCCAUUCCCUCAUAGUUUGUUUAAGUGUUUCAUAAAUAGCCCUUUUGCUAAACUACCUUUUGCUAUCCCUUUGAAUUUUUGGUCUGCCCUACCAAUUCCAGAAUAGCAUGGGUAUCAACAGACAAAGAUAAAGAAAAUAACUGUCUGAAAUAAUUUAAUUCACUAGUGGAAGAAAUAACAUAGUUCUUAAGUGAGCAUCUUUUCAGAUAUCUGAGGCUGCUGUGGUCAAGCUGAAAUUAGAGAGCUCAUUACCAAGUUGAAGGCUUUUCCAAAAGGCCUUAUCAUAGUUUAGUUAAAAGGUUGUAUUAUAUCUGUGAUAUGAAAUAUACUCAAAAAGCAAUUGAAAAACAGAUAAACCACUCUAUUAAAGACUUAAAAAAAGAAAAACAGAUCAGUAAACCUUUUACAUCUUUAGCACAGACAUAGGGUUAAAGGGUGUUGAAUGGGGAAAAUACUUAGAGAUGAUCUUAAAAGGCCAUGUGAAGACUCAGCCAAGGAGGAAUGACGAAAGAGGAAGUGACAGUAGGAGUAUGCUAAGUACAUAUUUCCCUGACCAGUUCUGAGAAUAACAUCAAGUAAAAAUUCAUUUGGAUUUAGAGGCUGCUCUCAACAGUAUCUAAACAACUUGAGGUUUCUGUCUUAAGUAUCAACAUGACAAUAUCUAGGUCAAAGGCAUAGUUUGUGAUUAAUAAACUGAAUUUUUACUUCAAAAAGACAAAUAUUCCCCAGCUGCUGCAAGAACAUCCUCAUCCCCUCAAGAAGGAAGAAAGAUUUCAUGACAUCGAUUGAGCAAUGACAGUGUGUGAAUGGUAAAGUUUGAUGUGGUAGUUAUAACCGACUGGUUGUUUGAAUUCCAUGGCUCCCAUGUAAUCUCUGUACAUAUAUAUAUAUAUAUAGUUUAAUACCUGUGAGCUUCUGUUUACUAAUAUACAAAAUAAAAAAUGAUA